AACGAACGCUGGCGGCAGGCCUAACACAUGCAAGUCGAACGCAUCCUUCGGGGUGAGUGGCGCACGGGUGAGUAACACGUGGGAAUGUAUCCUUUGGUUCGGAAUAACGUCUGGAAACGGACGCUAAUACCGGAUGAGCCCUUAGGGGGAAAGAUUUAUCGCCGAAGGAGCGGCCCGCGUCUGAUUAGGUAGUUGGUGGGGUAAAGGCCUACCAAGCCGACGAUCAGUAGCUGGUCUGAGAGGAUGAUCAGCCACGCUGGGACUGAGACACGGCCCAGACUCCUACGGGAGGCAGCAGUGGGGAAUAUUGGACAAUGGGCGCAAGCCUGAUCCAGCCAUGCCGCGUGAGUGAUGAAGGCCUUCGGGUUGUAAAGCUCUUUCGCACACGACGAUGAUGACGGUAGUGUGAGAAGAAGCCCCGGCUAACUUCGUGCCAGCCGCCGCGGUAACAC
rnacentral:rRNA from 1 species